rnacentral:lncRNA from 1 species
AUGACCACUGCUGCCUGUAGGACCACCACCCGUAGGAUGACUACGGCCACCUGUAGGACCACCCCCCGUAGGAUGACCACCGCUGCCUGGAGGACCACCACCCGUAGGAUGACCACCACCUGUAGGGUGACCAUGGCUGCCUGUAGGACCACCACCCGUAGGAGGACCACCACCCGUAGGAGGACCACCACCCGUAGGAGGACCACCACCCGUAGGAGGACCACCGCCGCCUGUAGGACCACCCCCCGUAGGAUGACCACCACCCGUAGGGUGAUCACUGCCGCCUGUAGGACCACCACCCGUAGGAUGACUACAGCCACCUGUAGGACCACCCCCUGUAGGAUGACCACCCCCCGUAGGAUGACCACCGCUGCCUGGAGGACCACCACCCAUAGGAUGACCACCACCCGUAGGGUGACCAUGGCUGCCUGUAGGACCACCCCCCGUAGGAUGACCACCCCCCGUAGGAUGACCACCGCCGCCUGUAGGACCACCACCCACAGGAUGACCACCACCCACAGGAUGACCACCACCCACAGGAUGACCACCACCCACAGGAUGACCACCACCCACAGGAUGACCACCGCCACCUGUAGGACCACCACCCAUAGGAGGACCACCACCCAUAGGAGGACCACCACCCAUAGGAGGACCACCACCCAUAGGAGGACCACCACCCAUAGGAGGACCACCGCCACCCAUAGGGUGACCGCCGCCGCCUGUACAGGAACAGGAACUUACCGAACACCCCCGGCUCCUCCAGCUGUUCCAGGACCCUCAACAGCGCGAGGCAGCUCUCCUCACCCCGCGCCAACACCAGCGCCCGCAGCCGCCGGACCCAGUCGCGCCCCCCCGGGGGUCCCAGCGCCGCCUCCUCCGUGGGUCCCAGAGCCCCGAGCCCCCGCAGCCCCUCCAGCAGCUCCCACCCGGGCGCCCGCAACAGCCGCUCCUCCAACAGGCGGCCCUGCGCCUGGACCAGCGCCCACGCCGACGUCAUGGCUGCCUGCAGGGGAGAGGAGCGGGGUCAGCCCUAUAGGAGACGCCGGGGAGACCCCACAGGCGAGGAUCAGCCCUAUAUGA